rnacentral:rRNA from 1 species
AUUGAACGCUGGCGGCAGGCCUAACACAUGCAAGUCGAGCGGAUGAAGGGAGCUUGCUCCUGGAUUCAGCGGCGGACGGGUGAGUAAUGCCUAGGAAUCUGCCUGGUAGUGGGGGAUAACGUCCGGAAACGGGCGCUAAUACCGCAUACGUCCUGAGGGAGAAAGUGGGGGAUCUUCGGACCUCACGCUAUCAGAUGAGCCUAGGUCGGAUUAGCUAGUUGGUGGGGUAAAGGCCUACCAAGGCGACGAUCCGUAACUGGUCUGAGAGGAUGAUCAGUCACACUGGAACUGAGACACGGUCCAGACGCCUACGGGAGGCAGCAGUGGGGAAUAGUGGACAAUGGGCGAAAGCCUGAUCCAGCCAUGCCGCGUGUGUGAAGAAGGUCUUCGGAUUGUAAAGCACUUUAAGUGGGGAGGAAGGGCAGUAAGUUAAUACCUUGCUGUUUUGACGGUACCAACAGAAUAAGCACCGGCUAACUUCGUG